rnacentral:tRNA from 1 species
CGCGGGGUGGAGCAAUUGGUAGCUCGUCGGGCUCAUAACNNAGGUUCAAGUCCUGACCCCGCUACUA